rnacentral:lncRNA from 1 species
GCGUGCCCGGCAACUUUUCCACCAUGUUUAAGGCAGCGCCGAAGACGGCCUUUGUCGCCCAGUUUCCUGGCCUCAAUGGGCUUGGCAUCUCAGCUGCCUACGUCUAUUAUGCCCCUGGGGGUUUUAUCCCCGUCCACAGCCACCCGGCCGGCACUGAACUCCUUGUGGUCACCGAGGGCACCCUCUUGGCAGGCUUUAUCUCCUCCGCCAAUAACCCCUACUAUAAAACCCUCAACAAGGGCGACGCCAUGGUCUUCCCCCAGGGGCUGCUGCACUUCCAAGUGAAUGUUGGUGAGACGACAGCGGUAGGCGUCGUGGGAUUCAGCAGCCCGAGCCCUGGGAUCCAAGUAACAUCGCCCGCGCUCUUUUCGA